GGGGAUGUGGUGUAGCCUGGUCUAACACGCUAGCCUGUCAAGCUAGAGAUCGCGGGUUCAAAUCCCGUCGUCCCCG
rnacentral:tRNA from 1 species